CGCGCCGGCAGUGGCGGCGACCGCGGCGGCGCUCUAGACGCGGCAUGUCUGCGUCUCUACUGCUCUGGGAGGAGGAAGAGAAGGAGGAAGAGGAGGAGGAGGAGGGGGAGGAAGAGGAGAAAGGCGCAGGGGUGGGAGCUGUUGCCGAAGCUGCCACAGCAAAAGUUCUCCCCCCUCCCCCCUUCCCCUCCUCUCAAGGCCCCUAGAAAGGUUGAAGCUGCCGCCGCCUGCAGUCGGUGACCGCGCGACUCGGCGCCCGCCCGCGAUUCACCUUUGCUGGGUAGAUUUUGAGGUCCCUUUGGAACAGCUUGUGGGGGGAUGGUGUCAGUUCUCAGGUAUAUCUAGUAAAACUGUUAGUCUUCUUUUUUGAGCCUGUAUACCCCACAAAUGACUUGGUCUCUGUGAGUGAAGAGAAUGAGUCAACUUGGCUCUGUUAUCCUGGCAUUUUCCUGAAUGCUUUUCUCAGAGCUGCUUUCUGAAUUACAGAAUAGAAUAGACAAGAAAAUUGAGGGCAUAUAUCCAGUAGACACAUGUUUGUUGAAUAAAUGAAUGAAUGAGAGUGUCUGAGAUAAUUUAUCUGAACUGUCUAUACGUUUUGUUUGUUUCAAUUUAUUCAUAACCUGGCUUUUUCUACAAGGAUUUAAUGAGGCUGACGGAAAUAUGUUCACCAUAAAUGAAUUGAAAUAAUUGAAGUCUAGUUGAUGAGAAAAGGAAAGAAUGUUAAGACUUAUCAUUAUGGAUGUUGAAGAACUAGGAAUAAAGUGGAAUAUAAGCAGAUGGAGAAGAAAUGGUGUUGUUUGAUGGAAAAUAUGAUUCUGAAAGAAAAAAAGUUAUUGAUAUGUGACAGGUUAUUGUUAAAGGGAAGCAAGAGAAGAUUGAAAGUAGAGGAUUAUUUGAAAUGGCUGAUUUUGAGAGGAAGAUGAUAAGACUUUGAAGGAUGAGAGUUUCAAAAGUUUGAAAUGUAGUGGAAAUUAUGAUGAUGAUUUAUAACAAGUUUCAGAAAGUAAAGGGGUGAGUUUUCUUUAGUCAACAGAUAAUGCACAUUUGUUAUGUGCAAAAGCAUUGUUAGAUGCACUCAAGGAUAAAUCCUUUGGGACUUAAUUCUAAUAGAGGGGCUAGACUUGAGCACAGAAGACUACACAGUAUGAUCACAAAUAUAUUAGGAGAAAAGUACCAAAUGUUACUAAAGUUAAAAGGUGGAAAAAACAUUUGAUUAAGGGAAAGCCUGGGACGGCAUUUAGUAGCAUGGAAGUGACAUUUUAGCUAGUCUUUGAAGGGAUAGGGAUUCCAACUGGCAGAAAUUACUCGAAAGAACAUUCCAACCUGAGGAAGCAAAAAUGUGGUGGUGAGAAGUCAAGGAGAUGUGGAGACGAGUGUGUUGGUUUUAGUUUUUUUUUUAAUUUUACUAUGGUCCACAGUAAGGAAAAUGUUUCACAUCUUCACCUAAUAUAUGCAUGUAUGAAUGUGUGUAUGUUUAGAACACAAAGUUUCAAUAACAGUAACUGUCCUUACCACGGUGGAGGCACUGUAUGUUUUCUCUUGUUCUCUUUGACUAAAAAGAAAAAAAGGAUGGCUGUCACUUACUAAACUGAUUUCAUGAUGAAUUAAUUGAUCAUAACCUGUAAUUUGUAAUAAAGAGUUAAUGAGUAUGGUAUAAGAUAGGAAAGCUCAGUUGGGGUUGAGUUGAAAAUGGAUGGCCUUGAAAGCUAAGCUAAGUAGUUUGUAUUUGAUAUGACAUAGUGCUGUGCUUGGUAAGCAAGCAAGCUAGGUUUUAGUCUUGGCCCUUCUGUUUACCUCCACGAUGGUU
ensembl:lncRNA